rnacentral:rRNA from 1 species
GGAUGAACGCUGGCGGCGUGCCUAAUACAUGCAAGUCGAGCGAACAGACGAGGAGCUUGCUCCUCUGACGUUAGCGGCGGACGGGUGAGUAACACGUGGAUAACCUACCUAUAAGACUGGGAUAACUUCGGGAAACCGGAGCUAAUACCGGAUAAUAUAUUGAACCGCAUGGUUCAAUAGUGAAAGACGGUUUUGCUGUCACUUAUAGAUGGAUCCGCGCCGCAUUAGCUAGUUGGUAAGGUAACGGCUUACCAAGGCAACGAUGCGUAGCCGACCUGAGAGGGUGGUCGGCCACACUGGAACUGAGACACGGUCCAGACUCCUACGGGAGGCAGCAGUAGGGAAUCUUCCGCAAUGGGCGAAAGCCUGACGGAGCAACGCCGCGUGAGUGAUGAAGGUCUUCGGAUCGUAAAACUCUGUUAUUAGGGAAGAACAAAUGUGUAAGUAACUAUGCACGUCUUGACGGUACCUAAUCAGAAAGCCACGGCUAACUACGUG